rnacentral:lncRNA from 1 species
UUAUUUCAAAGUACCUCUGUUGCAAUAUAUGGAAAAUUAAUUUUACUUCAUAGUAGACGGCUUUGACGAAAAGACAGUUGUUCAUAAAAAAUAACACAAACAAUUAAAACAACUAGAAUACAAAAACUAUGCGAUUACAACCAUCAAAACAAUUUUGAACAUGUACUGCAUCAUCCUACGAGCGUCUUGGUCGGUCUUAAUAUCCACCCAUUCACGCACUUCUCCGCUUUGGUUGAACGUGGACACAAGCCAUUGUAUUCUUCUAAUCCGUUCACCCUCUCCAAUUUCGCCCUCUAACCAACUAUACAACGUCCGAUUAAGACGUUCAAACGUAUCUGUGUUCCAAAGUCGAACCUGUAUCGGAGCCGCAACGGCAGAAAAUAUUACAUCAGCAUUUCGUUUUUGAAUAUAUCUAGACAUUGUUAAAACAAAGAAAAUCAAAAAUGAUGGUUGCACUAGACUAGAAGAUGAGUUUGAGUGAAAAUAUAAACUGAGAGAUGAAUUUGACUGAAAAUUUGUAUGCAAGGUGAUCGUAUUUAUAGAGGCGAUAAAUCAGACACAGAAGACACACAGAAGGGCCCCUAAAAAAGACACACAAAAGAAACUAAAAAACCCUAGCACACACACACACACAGGCGCCAACCCAAGGGGCGCCUUCCCACUAGGGCACACACACAGGCGCCAGCCUUAGGGGCGCCUCCCUUAGUGGGAGGCUAAGGCGCCAACCCUAGGGGCGCC